UAAACAUAUCAGCUGUUUGCCUGCUGUAUGCUGAGGAUCAAUAUGUCCAUCACUUGAGCUAUGUACCAGUGUCCGACCACCAUUAAGGGCGAGAAGCUACCUAUUAAAACCAAGUCUGGAAUGCCUGGGAAGAUGGCUCAGCAGGAAAAAACACUGGCUGCUCUUCCAGAGGACCCAGGUUCAAUUCCAAGCACUUACAUGGUAGCUCACAGCUAUCCAAGUCCAGUCCCAAGGACUGAAGGCUCUCCUCUGGCCUCCGUAGGCACCAGGAAACGUACCUGUAACAUGCACUGGGAUACCACACCCUCUGGAAUUUCAGGAAAACGUUGUCGAAGAUCAUGGAGAACCUGAAUAUCAAGCUGUGGACUGUUUUGCGCCAUGCCAGAGUCAAUGUUGGUCAACUAUCUCUUAGGAAAUGGAUAUUAGCAGGACUUCCAAAAGUAAUAAUCUUCCAAACACUCUGUCAUUUUCUUCUAAAAUAAAUAAAAGUUUAGUUAAGUCUAAUUCCA